rnacentral:rRNA from 1 species
UACGUAAGGAGCAAGCGUUGUCCGGAAUCAUUGGGCGUAAAGGGUGCGCAGGCGGUAUUGAAGGUCAGUUGUGAAAGCUUAGUGCUCAACACUAAGAGUGCAAUUGAAACCGCAGUACUAGAGAGUAGAAGAGGAAAGUGGAAUUCCGUAUGUAGCGGUGAAAUGCUUAGAUAUACGGAAGAACACCAAUGGCGAAGGCAGCUUUCUGGUCUACUACUGACGCUGAGGCGCGAAAGCGUGGGGAGCGAACGGG